CCUACAGCUUACAACACAAAGGGACCCUUUUACGAUCAAUACCUAUUUUAUUUGGUUACAUCACUCAUACGGUCUCACACACUCACACCACUCAUACCAUUGUUCGCUUUCCCAGUUCAUGUCAUUUAGAAUACGAAACGGUGAUGGUAAGACGUAGAUAUAGUCUCUCUGAGAGACUAUAUAAAUACUCUACUCUCUAGUGCUUUAAUACUAGAUUACAACUUAUCUACCCGCUACUACAAAUAUCUGUGCUACUUAGUAAGUAUGAGUGAGCUAUUAUUUAAUUUAAUUUAAUUAACUAUAGUAAUUAAUAUAUUACCAUGUUUUAUAAUAUCUAUUAUUACCAUGAUUUUAGGUAAAACACGCGAUUGAAAUUCAAACAGUAAAUAUUCAUCACAGACCAUAGUAUAAUCUUAUGACUCAUGGGAAAUUCAUGGAUUUCAGAUUUGUGGUUAACGUGCAUGAUUCUGCUCUGAUAUGCGGUCUUCAUAUAGGUAUAUAAAAUAUAUAAUAAUAAUAUAAUAUUAAAAAACCAACCUGGCAGUGUUAUAUUAUAUAAUAGAGCAUCGUGUAUAGGCACACUAAUGAAUAAUAAUUUACAAAAAUUAAAAUUUCAAACAAAACAAUUAAAUAGUAAAAUAAACAAAUAUAAAUUGGUUGCUAUUGUGUUUAGGACAAUUUACCAUAAUAUUAUUAUAUUGGAGUGCACUUGAAAGUAAAUAAUAUAUUCAAUUAGUUAAACUCAUAAAACAUUCCAUCCUUCUCUUACAUGUUAGUGAAAUAUAUUUAAACAACAGAAAUGUUAAUAAAAUUUAAUAUUUUGGUAUAUGUAUUUUAUUAUUAAUUAUACGGGAGUACAGAACGACAGAAAAAAAUAAGGUGAUAAAAUAUUUUAGUAUUAAUUUUUAUUAGAUAGAGUGAUUUUAGGUUGGAGAGAGUAUUUGUUAGACGCAUUAAACAGUCAAGAGGUUAAUUGCUGCAGUAAUUUGUAGUACGUUUGGGUACUACAUAAGGGGUGAGGGAGUGAGUGGAGUGCUGAAGAACUCGGAAAUUAAUACAAGAGAGGAAGGAAGGUACAUCAAACGAGUAGUCGUGAAUGGGGUGGGGAAUAUUCAAAGUAAACCAGCGAAGGACAGAUUUUAUUAUUUUAAAAUUGGUUAUACUCAAUAUGCAAUAGAGCAUUAUCAUGAAUCAUGAUCAAAUUUGACCCUAAUUACUUUCUUAAAUGAGAGAAGAAGGUGACAGUCAUAGUUUAUAAUUAACUUGUACAUCUAGAAUUGAUAUGGUCAAAACGAUUAGCACUGCAUCACUGUAGUACCAGUGUACCAGUACUACCUUGAACAACACAUGUGUGAUCGAGAGAACUAAUAGUAUCAAUUUUCUAUUAGACAUUAGGUAUUGCAUAGAGUAUUUAAAUCAUAUGAUAUUGGUACAAAUUUCCAAUUGUAUACACGUAACUAUAAAUCUAUAAUACAGUUGUAAUCAAGUUGUUAGUUCUCAUUAUAGAAGGCAAAUUAGAAAGGGUUUCCAAAAUUCACUUAAACGAUAGUGGAAGGCUUCAUUAUCUCUUCUGAUGGUUUGAUUAAGCCUCAUUUUUUAAAUUUAUAUAUAUAUAUAUAGUUAUGGCUGGGGUGACGAAGUGAAUUAGGAUUAAUUGAUAAAUAUUAAUAAAAUAUUAUUUGCAUGAGUUUGUUUGUAUGCAAUAUCAGGAUCAUAAAUUACAUACAAAUUGUGGGGGGGGGGGGGGCUAUAAAAUAGCUAAACUGUUCAAAAUAUUAAACCGGCUGUAUUUUUGCUUAAAUACCUAGUUAUUAACUAGUAAGUUUCUUAAUAUUGUUUUGUAAGAUUACUGUUGUAUUUUAAUUUUAUAAAAUUAAAACUUCUAGUAUGGAAUAUACUCUAUCAACUUCCAAUUCCACCUGUUGCAUCAAAUACAUUUCUAGUUGUACUGUAAUUUCCUAUUUCAGUCUUUGAUAUACAACAUGACGAAACUAAGCAAUAUUGCGAGGUAUAGAUAAAAUUUAUCAUCAUAAAUGAUUUUUUUUUUUAUAUAGAAUUACAAACAUUAACAAAAAAAACUACAAUAAUAUUGUUAUUGGCUGAUAUUGAAAAAUAAAAGUAUAGAAAUUAGAAUAUUAAACUGACAGCCAUCUAGACAUUAUCACACAUUAUUUGUUUAGGUUUUUUAAUGUCAGCUGUAAUAUUUUUUGUUUUAAUGAUUGGUAACAAUAUUUUUUAGCUAAUUUAUUUUUAUUAUUUAAUGUAAACCCCACACAAAUGAGUAACUGAAGAAAGAUGAAAAGCAGACCAAACUUAUCAACUAACUUGUAAAUCUAUGGAAUAAACUUUUUUGCAUAUUGUUUACUCCAUCAUGAGGAGUGGCUCAUGGUUAGGUCUCUUUACUUUAUGUUGAUAUUAGAUUUUUCACUACUCAAUGUCUUUCUCUUUAUAUGUAGAAUGUAUAUGGAUACAAAAUAUUAAAUAUUUAUGUAGGUUCUAGUUAUUUUAUAACUACUGAUGAUAACAAGUAAAUUUGUCAGUAUCCACCCAGUGAACAUUUCUUUUCAGAAAAAGUCCUAUAAAUGAUAAUCUGAGUAAACUUUCUGGUAGAAAAAGAGUUUAAAUAAAAAAAAAUUAAUGUAAAACCAAUAUAUAUCUAGAAAAUAGACUAAUAUCUAAUUUAAUAAUACUAAUGUCUCAAAACUUAAAAAUAAUUAAUUAAUAACAUUUAAUCUGGUUAUAGAUGUGAUGGAAAUUAAAACUGCAACUUCUAUGUAUACCUACAAUUAUGUGUCUUUCAACAGUGAAUAAGCACUGUAGCAAGUUGGGUUUGUUGUUCUUCUGUCAACCACCAAUCUAGAAUGUGAUCUCAAAUUAUAUUGAAAAAUAUUGGUUCAUUAUGGUAAAUAUGGUCUAAGAAAAGUUAAAUGUAUUGUGCUAAAAGCGCUAAGAACUUCUAAUAAUUAUGGUGGAAAUUUAUUACAAGUUUAUACAUAUAAUUAUCAAUUCUUCUAUAUAUAUUGUAGUGUAAAUGAACCAGAAAUACUUUACACUUGUGUUUUAUCAACUGUUUAUAAUAUUGCUACUUAAAAACUACCAAACAAACUGCACAAGAUGGAUCUGUUCACUCACAAAAAGCAAUACUUUUUCAAAUAUAUAUGAACAUAUUAUUAAAAGUUCAUGAAAGUGGUUGUGCAUGGGGUGUAAAGGGACUUUAUAUCCCAUGGACAACCACUUAUAUAUCUUUCAAUGAAAAUGAUCCAGAAAUAUUUAAAACUUGUGUUUUAUCAAUUGUUUAUAGUAUUUCGACUUGUAAACUAUUAAACAAACUGGACAAGGUGAAUCUGUUCACAACCUGAAAUACUUACACAAAUAUAAGUGAACAUAUUAUUGAGAGUUCAUGAAAGUGGGUGUGCAUGGGAUGAAAAGGGACUUCUCAUCCCAUGGACAUCCACUUAUAUAUCUCUCAGUGAAAAUGAUCCAGAAAUACUUAAAACUACCAAACAAACUGAAAAAGAUGGAUCUGUUCACACCCUGAAAUACUUACUCAAAUAUAAGUGAACAUAUUAUUAAAAGUUCAUGAAAGUGGUUGUGCAUGGGGUGAAAAGGGACUUCUCAUCCCAUGGACAACCACUUAUAUAUCUUUCAAUGAAAAUGAUCCAGAAAUAUUUAAAACUUGUGUUUUAUCAAUUGUUUAUAGUAUUUCGACUUGUAAACUAUUAAACAAACUGGACAAGGUGAAUCUGUUCACAACCUGAAAUACUUACACAAAUAUAAGUGAACAUAUUAUUGAGAGUUCAUGAAAGUGGGUGUGCAUGGGAUGAAAAGGGACUUCUCAUCCCAUGGACAUCCACUUAUAUAUCUCUCAGUGAAAAUGAUCCAGAAAUACUGAAAACUACCAAACACACUGGACGAGAUGGAUCUGUUCACAACCUGAAAUACUUACUCAAAUAUAAGUGAACAUAUUAUUGAAAGUUCAUGAAAGUGGGUGUGCAUGGGAUGAAAAGGGACUUCUCGUUCCAUGGACAUCCACUUAUAUAUCUUUCAAUGAAAAUGAUCCAGAAAUAUUUAAAACUUGUGUUUUAUCAAUUGUUUAUAGUAUUUCUACUUGUAAACUAUUAAACAAACUGCACAAGAUGGAUCCGUUCACCCACAACAUAAAACACUUACUCAAAUAUAGGUGAACAUAUUAUUGAAAGUUCAUGAAAGUGGGUGUGCAUGGGAUGAAAAGGGACUUCUCGUCCCAUGGACAUCCACUUAUAUAUCUUUCAGUGAAAAUGAACCAGAAAUACUUGACACUUGUGUUUUAUCAAUUAUAAUAUUUCUACUUGAAAAAGGCCAAACAAACUGCACAAGAUGGAUCUGUUCACUCACAACAUGAAACACUCAAAUAUAUAUGAACAUAUUAUUAAAAGUUCAUGAAAGUGGUUGUGCAUGGGGUGUAAAGGGACUUUAUAUUCCAUGGACAACCACUUAUAUAUCUUUCAAUGAAAAUGAUCCAGAAAUAUUUAAAACUUGUGUUUUAUCAAUUGUUUAAAGUAUUUCUACUUGUAAACUAUUAAACAAACUGCACAAGAUGGAUCUAUUCACUCACAACAUGAAAUACUUACUCAAAUAUAUGUGAACUUAUUAUUGAAAAUUCAUGAAAGUGGGUGUGCAUGGGAUGAAAAGGGACUUCUCGUCCCAUGGACAUCCACUUAUAUAUCUUUCAAUGAAAAUGAUCCAGAAAUAUUUAAAACUUGUGUUUUAUCAAUUGUUUAAAGUAUUUCUACUUGUAAACUAUUAAACAAACUGCACAAGAUGGAUCUAUUCACUCACAACAUGAAAUACUUACUCAAAUAUAUGUGAGCUUAUUAUUGAAAAUUCAUGAAAGUGGGUGUGCAUGGGAUGAAAAGGGACUUCUCAUCCCAUGGACAUCCACUUAUAUAUCGCUCAGUGAAAAUGAUCCAGAAAUACAGAAAACUACCAAACACACUGGACGAGAUGGAUCUGUUCACAACCUGAAAUACUUACUCAAAUAUAAGUGAACAUAUUAUUAAAAGUUCAUGAAAGUGGUUGUGCAUGGGGUGUAAAGGGACUUUAUAUCCCAUGGACAACCACUUAUAUAUCUUUCAAUGAAAAUGAUCCAGAAAUAUUUAAAACUUGUGUUUUAUCAAUUGUUUAUAGUAUUUCGACUUGUAAACUAUUAAACAAACUGGACAAGGUGAAUCUGUUCACAACCUGAAAUACUUACUCAAAUAUAAGUGAACAUAUUAUUGAGAGUUCAUGAAAGUGGGUGUGCAUGGGAUGAAAAGGGACUUCUCGUUCCAUGGACAUCCACUUAUAUAUCUUUCAGUGAAAAUGAACUAGAAAUUCUGGGAACUUGUGUUUUAUCAAUUAUAAUAUUUCUACUUGAAAAAGGCCAAACAAACUGCACAAGAUGGAUCAGUUCACUCACAACAUGAAAUACUUACUCAAAUAUAUGUGAACUUAUUAUUAAAAGUUCAUGAAAGUGGUUGUGCAUGGGGUGAAAAGGGACUUCUCAUCCCAUGGACAACCACUUAUAUAUCUUUCAAUGAAAAUGAUCCAGAAAUAUUUAAAACUUGUGUUUUAUCAAUUGUUUAUAGUAUUUCGACUUGUAAACUAUUAAACAAACUGGAAAAGAUGGAUCUAUUCACUCACAACAUGAAAUACUUACUCAAAUAUAUGUGAACUUAUUAUUGAAAAUUCAUGAAAGUGGGUGUGCAUGGGGUGAAAAGGGACUUUUCAUCCCAUGGACACCCACUUAUAUAUCUUUCAGUGAAAAUGAUCCAAAAAUACUAAUAACUUGUGUUUUAUUAAUUGUUUAUAAAUUUCUACAUGAAAAAAGCCAAACAAACUGCACAAGAUGGAUC
rnacentral:lncRNA from 1 species